GACGGAGGGGGCAAGCGUUGUCCGGACUCACUGGGCGUAAAGGGUGCGUAGGCGGUUUGGUGCGUUCGCGCUGAAAUCACACGGCUUAACCGUGUGGCGCGUGCGAAUACGACCAGGCUUGAGGCAAGGAGAGGAUGGGGGAACUCCUGGUGUAGUGGUGAAAUGCGUAGAGAUCAGGAAGAACACCCGUGGCGCAAGCGCCCAUCUGGCCUUGACCUGACGCUGAGGCACGAAAGCGUGGGGAGCGAACCGG
rnacentral:rRNA from 1 species